rnacentral:tRNA from 1 species
AUGCCCGUAGCUCAAUGGUAGAGUACCGGUCUCCAAAACCGGUGACGUGAGUUCGAUCUCACCGGGUAUG